rnacentral:piRNA from 1 species
UAAUCUGGAGAAAAGUCAUGGUGUCAGUUUGU